AGUGGAAUAAGCUCUUCAGGAGGAAGAUCCAUGAAGCAAAACUCUUUAUUAUCCACAUUAGACCUUGCUAACCAAUCAGCACAGCGGUUUGAACUUCUUCUAUACACUGGAAUGCUAUCUUUGAAUCAGUCUCAACUAUCACUCUGCGCAUACCCAUAUCCCAUGCCAAACGGAGGCCAUGGAGCAUCCCCCAUAUUUCAGCUUGAUCAGCAUCACAGUCCUCCAAUCUAGUUUUGAAGUCGCCGAUCCAUUCUCCCAGAAUCAGAUUGCACAUUAUUGCAGUAAUGAGAGACCGACGUUCUAACUUCU